UGCCAUGGUGAAGAUUUGGAUUCAAAUAGGGAGACUCCUUGCUCUUGCCGUGGUACCUUGAAGUACGCACAUAGAGCAUGUGUGCAAAGGUGGUGCAAUGAGAAAG